rnacentral:rRNA from 1 species
CAAUCAAACCGGGAGAUAGCUGGUUCUCCCCGAAAGCUAUUUAGGUAGCGCCUCGUGAAUUCAUCUCCGGGGGUAGAGCACUGUUUCGGCUAGGGGGCCAUCCCGGCUUACCAACCCGAUGCAAACUGCGAAUACCGGAGAAUGUUAUCACGGGAGACACACGGCGGGUGCUAACGUCCGUCGUGAAGAGGGAAACAACCCAGACCGCCAGCUAAGGUCCCAAAGUCAUGGUUAAGUGGGAAACGAUGUGGGAAGGCCCAGACAGCCAGGAUGUUGGCUUAGAAGCAGCCAUCAUUUAAAGAAAGCGUAAUAGCUCACUGGUCGAGUCGGCCUGCGCGGAAGAUGUAACGGGGCUAAACCAUGCACCGAAGCUGCGGCAGCGAACGUAUCACCCAAGACAACUUUACGGAGUUGACGAUUGACGGAGCGAAGCGACGUCAAAGCGUUCAUUAAAGUCGAGUUGGCUUAGGGAUACGUUCGUUGGGUAGGGGAGCGUUCUGUAAGCCUGUGAAGGUGUGUCGUGAGGCAUGCUGGAGGUAUCAGAAGUGCGAAUGCUGACAUAAGUAACGAUAAAGCGGGUGAAAAGCCCGCUCGCCGGAAGACCAAGGGUUCCUGUCCAACGUUAAUCGGGGCAGGGUGAGUCGACCCCUAAGGCGAGGCCGAAAGGCGUAGUCGAUGGGAAACGGGUUAAUAUUCCCGUACUUGGUGUUACUGCGAAGGGGGGACGGAGAAGGCUAUGUUGGCCGGGCGACGGUUGUCCCGGUUUAAGCGUGUAGGUGUGUGUUCCAGGUAAAUCCGGUUCACUUUAACACUGAGGCGUGACGACGAGGCACUACGGUGCUGAAGCAACAAAUGCCCUGCUUCCAGGAAAAGCCUCUAAGCAUCAGGUAACAUCAAAUCGUACCCCAAACCGACACAGGUGGUCAGGUAGAGAAUACCAAGGCGCUUGAGAGAACUCGGGUGAAGGAACUAGGCAAAAUGGUGCCGUAACUUCGGGAGAAGGCACGCUGACACGUAGGUGAAGUGAUUUACUCAUGGAGCUGAAGUCAGUCGAAGAUACCAGCUGGCUGCAACUGUUUAUUAAAAACACAGCACUGUGCAAACACGAAAGUGGACGUAUACGGUGUGACGCCUGCCCGGUGCCGGAAGGUUAAUUGAUGGGGUCAGCGCAAGCGAAGCUCCUGAUCGAAGCCCCGGUAAACGGCGGCCGUAACUAUAACGGUCCUAAGGUAGCGAAAUUCCUUGUCGGGUAAGUUCCGACCUGCACGAAUGGCGUAAUGAUGGCCAGGCUGUCUCCACCCGAGACUCAGUGAAAUUGAACUCGCUGUGAAGAUGCAGUGUACCCGCGGCAAGACGGAAAGACCCCGUGAACCUUUACUAUAGCUUGACACUGAACAUUGAGCCUUGAUGUGUAGGAUAGGUGGGAGGCUUUGAAGUGUGGACGCCAGUCUGCAUGGAGCCGACCUUGAAAUACCACCCUUUAAUGUUUGAUGUUCUAACGUGGACCCGUAAUCCGGGUUGCGGACAGUGUCUGGUGGGUAGUUUGACUGGGGCGGUCUCCUCCUAAAGAGUAACGGAGGAGCACGAAGGUUGGCUAAUCCUGGUCGGACAUCAGGAGGUUAGUGCAAUGGCAUAAGCCAGCUUGACUGCGAGCGUGACGGCGCGAGCAGGUGCGAAAGCAGGUCAUAGUGAUCCGGUGGUUCUGAAUGGAAGGGCCAUC